rnacentral:rRNA from 1 species
GAUCCUGGCUCAGGAUGAACGCUAGCGGCAGGCUUAACACAUGCAAGUCGAGGGGCAACGCGAGUAGCAAUACUUGGCGGCGACCGGCGCAAGGGUGCGUAACGCGUGAGCAACAUGCCCGUAUCAGGGGGAUAAUCCAGGGAAACUUGGUCUAAUACCCCAUAGUAAUUUUGUAAGGCAUCUUAUAAGAUUUAAAGCUUUGGUGGAUACGGAUUGGCUCGCGUGACAUUAGCUGGAUGGUAAGGUAACGGCUUACCAUGGCUAUGAUGUCUAGGGGUUCUGAGAGGAAGGUCCCCCACACUGGAACUGAGACACGGUCCAGACUCCUACGGGAGGCAGCAGUGAGGAAUAUUGGACAAUGGAUGGAAAUCUGAUCCAGCCAUGCCGCGUGAAGGAAGAAGGUCCUAUGGAUUGUAAACUUCUUUUGUAUGGGAGCAAUAAGGCCUACGUGUAGGUUGAUGAGAGUACCAUACGAAUAAGCACCGGCUAACUCCGUGCCAGCCGCAGC